GACGAACGCUGGCGGCGUGCCCAAUACAUGCAAGUCGAGCGAUGAUUAAAGAUAGCUUGCUAUUUUUAUGAAGAGCGGCGAACGGGUGAGUAACGCGUGGGAAAUCUGCCGAGUAGCGGGGGACAACGUUUGGAAACGAACGCUAAUACCGCAUAACAAUGAGAAUCGCAUGAUUCUUAUUUGAAAGAAGCAAUUGCUUCACUACUUGAUGAUCCCGCGUUGUAUUAGCUAGUUGGUAGUGUAAAGGACUACCAAGGCGAUGAUACAUAGCCGACCUGAGAGGGUGAUCGGCCACACUGGGGCUGAGACACGGCCCAGACUCCUACGGGAGGCAGCAGUAGGGAAUCUUCGGCAAUGGGGGCAACCCUGACCGAGCAACGCCGCGUGAGUGAAGAAGGUUUUCGGAUCGUAAAACUCUGUUGUUAGAGAAGAACGUUAAGUAGAGUGGAAAAUUACUUAAGUGACGGUAUCUAACCAGAAAGGGACGGCUAACUACGUGCCAGCAGCCGCAGUAA
rnacentral:rRNA from 1 species